UCAUUUCUUUUCUUUCUUUUUCUUCUUUUUCAUUUUCGGUAGAACACUCCUCUUCACUCCUUCAAACUCUCCCGCCGGUACCUCCAUAUCACUAUUUUUCCACCUUCAUUUUCCGGCAAGACCACCGGAAAAAUCCUUAGGAACCCCUAAGCAUCAUCAUCCUUUUUUUUGAGGUUCUAGCUAAUCUCCUUGGAGCUUGGAGAAUUAGGCUCUUGCAGUUGCGAGAUAAGUAACUUUUUAAUGAGAUUUUUGAAAAAUAAACAUGUUGCAUAAAUGAUGUUUUUGGGUUAGAUACACUUUUGAAAACUACCUAUGGAAAUUAUAUUUUCCUAAAACUAUUGUGUCAUAACCUUAAUAUAUGUAUGAUUAUAUAUGAAAAUGCAUCAUAUUUGGUAUUAUAUUUGGGGAAAUGCAUGAAUUGUUGAUAUGAAAAAAUGAGCAUCUUUUAUUUAAUCUUUGAUAAGGAAAUCAUGGAUUUUAUGGUAUAUUAUAAAAUUUGAGGAUGCUUAUCUUGUCUUGUUAUGUGGAAAAUUGAUAGAAAAAUCUCUUGACAAGAAUGAAGUUGAAACCUUACAAACUUUGUGGAAGUUGGAUUAUUUAAGGUUUUUCUGAAAUUACCUAGACAUAAAUUACGUGUUUCAAAGUAUAUGUAACCUAUGAGCUUUAUGUGGUUUUAACACCAUGCCAUGUGUGAUUUCUCGGUGAUCACCCGAUUUGGUUUUUAUAGUCUUUGUGACAACGGAAUCAAAUCCAGGUCAGUGUCCUUUCACUUUGGAUGACACGUUCUUCCCUGCUGCCUAUGGGGGGGAAGAGAUUCCUUGAUUGUGUGUGGGUGAGGCUGUUGCCCAUGGGGCCAAGAGACUACAUGCAAGAGAGGUCCUAUUUGACGCGCUCUCUCUACUGCCCAGGGGGGGAGAGAAAAACCUUGAGGGUAUGGGUGAGGCUGCUAUCCAUGGGGCCAAGAGUCUGCAUACCAAAGAGGACAAUAUCAUGCCAAUUGUGAAUAGGUGGAUUCCCUAACCGGUCUAUGUGAUAUAUUUGUGAUAAUUUAUCUUAUGUUAGAUAUUAUGACUUUGGAAAUUAUAUUGUUGAUGCUCACAGAUUAUAGUAUAUAGUUUCAAGGUAUUUAUUUAGAGAAACUUUGUGUUUCAUUAUUUAAUCAUUCUUGUCAUAUUAUUAUUUUUGAAGAUGAAACUUGCAUUUCCCCCACUCCCAUUAAAUAUGCUAUUUAAUGGGCUCUGUCUCAUCCCAUUAUUUUAUAAACUUUUCAGAGUAGGCAACAAUCUUUUGAGACAGCUUUUUGGUGACUAACAAUAGUUAGACUAACUACUGAUGGAGACUGAACUUUGUAAUGGAGAUAUUAGAUGUUGUACAUCUUAGAAUAAGCUUGACUCAUUCUUUUGUAUAUUAUAGUGGUUGUGACGUUUUUCUCACUAAUGGGACAAGCUGAUGAUAUGUAAUUAUUUAUUCAGACCUCUAUUCUUUUGUGACCAAUGGUCCUUGUAAUUAUUGCUUAGAACUCUGACUUACUCUAAGAGUAUAUUCAAUGAAAUUAUUAUGAUAAUUCUUGAUGUUGGUAUUGGAUAUGAUUUAUGUGAAUUGGAUUGUCAAAAAGGAAAAAAUAAAUAAAAAAAUAAAAAUCUAUAGAUACUUUGAGAUGUCUUUCUCAUGCUUUGGAUCCUUUGGGGUUUGGGGCGUGACAUUCCUUAUGUAGUUGUGUUGCUGUCAUUUGGAGACUUUUUUGGCUUGUUCACUUGCAGUAUUUGAUGAAGUUCUCAAUGGUGAAAAUGACUCUCGGGAGGAUAUCGAUGGCAUGGAUGAAGAAGGGAAAGGGAUUGUCUUAAUGCGGUAUUCUUGGGAAAGAACUGAUCGAGAUUAUGAAUAUGAAGAGAUUACCAGUGGCGGAGAAGCCUCUAAUCACUCAUUCCUUGUAUCUAGGACACUACAGAUAUCAGGGCCUUAGUCAUUUCCGUCACUUGAAAAUGUUUUGACAGUUGGAGCAGAAAACUGCCUUGAUGCAAAAACAACCUUCUAAGAUGCCUUUAGGAAAUUGGGUGGGUGUCUUCUAGUAUAUGCAGGUGAAGGUCUUGUGGUAUAAGUUACAAAGCAUAACUUCUCUUUUUAUAAUCUUUUGGGCAUUUGGUUUUAUAAGUGCUUGAAAAUCUAGCAUAAUGAGCUGUUAGUAUGACUUCUAUAUGUAGCAAAUUCUUUUGGACUUGUUUAUAUUGAGCUAUAUGUUCUAACACAACUCUCAUUUUCAUUGCUUUUAGCGUAUUGACAUGUGACAAAAGAUGAUUAAUGGAACUGCCAUUGGGUCUUUGCAUAUUUUCACACUUCUGUCUUGUUUCCGUGGCUGAGUACCCUCUCUUGUCUCACGUGCAUAUUAUCAAUUAAAUAAGAAACCAAUACCUUUUAUGAUUUUGGUGGAUUAUAUGUUCCUUUUGUCAUUUUGGGAGUCUUGUUGGCUGUGUUCCCUUUAUAUCUUCUCAAGUAAGCUUUUAUGGAUCUUUUUCUUCUUCUUUUUCGGGUGGGGGGUUGGAUAUUCUUAAUCUUAUUGUGAUGGAUUACAAUGUCCAUGCUUCUUAUGACUCUGCUGCUUCUUAGUAGAAUGUUCAAUAUCCUUUACGAGAAUAAUCCUGAGCUUGCAGGAGAUAGACGUAGGACAGUUACGAGGCCUCCACAAGUUCUACGAGAAUGCACAAAGAAGACUGUUUGUAAAUUUUAUUGAUCACUGCAAAACGAUGCAUAGGCAAAAAGAGCAUGUCAUGACGUUCUUACUGGCUAAAAUGGGGACAAGUGGAUCUUUGGACGGACAUAGCGGAUGGUCGUUAAGGGUGGAUUUGCUCCUAAAAACUUUGAAGGGAUCCUGCAAAGAUUUUUUUUUUUUUGAGAAUCAAUACGAGACAAUUAUAUUAAGCUGAAACAAAAUCAGAAACAACAAACUCAAAAACAUCCGGAGGAACAUGCUCCAUCCAGACUAACAAAGGUAAUGACCCUCUUGCUCUCUUAGCUAAGGCAUGAGCUACACUGUUGCCCUGCCGCCUUGUAUGAGAAAAAGAGAAAGUUCUAAGCGAACUCACAAUAGACAAAAAGUCUUUAACAAACUGACCAACAAAAAGUCUUUAACAAACUGACCAAUAGAUGGGUGGCUACCAUCAGCAGCCUUCAAUGCAUUGCACACCAUCUCCGAGUCACCUUCAAACACAGAUUGAAAUAUACCCGCCUCAACUGCAAAUAAAGCAGCCCUUCUUGCAGCCAAGGCCUCCAAGACCUCCACAGAAUCCGGGGUAGGGAAUUUUUUCAGACAGCGCUGCUACCAUCUCGCCAUUUGAAUUCCGAAUCACAACUCCAAUUCCCGCCUCUCCAGACUCAGCAAAGACAGCCCCAUCAAAGUUUGUCUUGUACAUCUCCUCCAUCGGAGGUCUUCAUAUGGUUCUUCCAGGUAUGGUUUUCGGCUUGAUCAUCGGAAAUUUCCUCUGAUACUCAGUGAGAUAGUUGCUGGCUGCUUCGAAUACCUUCACAGUAGGCAAACACUCUUCCUUUAAUCUAAUCUUGUUCCUACGGUGCCAUAUAAACCAAGCCACAGUAGCAAAUACUUCCAAACUUCUUGGUUGUUGCCCCACAAGCUGAAUUAGCUCACAGAAAUCAUGAAUUCUUGGGAAGUCAGAACUGAUCCAGCUAAAUACAGGUGCCCAAAUAUGCCGCAGUGUGUCACAUCCCCAAAUGGCAUGAAAGGUCGACUCCUACUCCACUUGGCAAAGGUUGCACUCUGCACUAUCUAUAAUUUUCCUUUUCUUCAAAUUCUCCUUGGUAGGUAGUGCUUCAGAACAAGCCCUCCAGAGAAAAGUUUUGAUUUUAUUAGGUACCCGCAGUUUCCAAAUACGAUUCCAGAAGAUCUUUUGAUUCGAAUUGUCUGAACUUGCUGCAUCCAAACAUCUUUCAUCCUCACACAGCAAUAUGUAUCCGGUUUUAACUGAGUACUCACCACUUCGACAGUGUGGCCAGAUUAUACUAUCUGCCUGACUUGACCAACAGAGAGGGAUAAGUUAAGUACAUAAGUUUUAGUUUUGUGAUACACGACACGUCAUAAGAAGUCAUGAGACUAAAGUUAUCUAUUUUCAUUAAUUAGCUUCUCCCAUGUAUAUUCUUUUUAUACAUCAUCAUCAAACGCUAAAACUCUUAUCAUCAUCAGCAAACGCUAGAACUCUAGCUUUAUUCAAUUAAUUCUCUUUAUUGCAA